rnacentral:rRNA from 1 species
GACAGAGGUGCCAAGCGUUAGGCGGAAUCACUGGGCUUAAAGCGUGUGUAGGCGGACUUGUAAGUACCUUGUGAAAUCCCACGGCUCAACCGUGGAACUGCUUGGUAUACUGCUUGUCUUGAGCCACUUAGGGGCUACCGGAACAAAUGGUGGAGCGGUGAAAUGCGUAGAUAUCUGGAGGAACACCGGUGGCGAAGGCGGCAUCCUGGACCGAGAUCGACGCUGAGGCGCGAAAGCUAGGGGAGCAAACGGG